UAAUUCCGUAAGGAUAUUAACCAAAUAAAAAAUGGCCUCCAGAGUAUCCACAUUUCUGAUCCUUUGCUUGGCUAUGGUUCUUCUCAUUUCCUCCAAAGUUUCAUCUCAGACUUCAGUCGAAACUGAAUCUGUAGGGACCGACCAAUACGGUGGCUGCCGCUACCGCUACUGCUGCUUGCGAGGAAGUUACGGCUGCCUCCGCUGGUGCUGUCGUUAUACUAAAGACAGCUCACAUGCGACCUACGAUCCUAGGCCGGGAGACAAGCCGCAAAACUAGGGAGAGAUCGGGUUCGGACUAGUCGAAAUGCGCAAGUCUACGAGGAUCAGACCUGCUGUUAAAUUAAAUCCAUGUCUAUUUACUACUGAGUUUAGCUGUGUUGAGGAAUAAUAUGCAUGAAGUCAUCUACGAAUGUUUGUCCAUGCAUGGAUAAUAAAACUGGUGCAGUCAGUGUGCCCCAGUGCUCUCAGUGUGUAAUGUUUGUUAUAUAUAUAUAUAGUGUGUGAAAUUGACUGA